GAUGAAGAACGUAGCGAAAUGCGAUAAGUAAUGUGAAUUGCAGAAUUCAGUGAAUCAUCGAAUCUUUGAACGCACCUUGCGCUCUUUGGUAUUCCGAAGAGCAUGCCUGUUUGAGUGUCAUGAAAAUAUCAACCUUGACUUGGGUUUUGUGCUCUAGUCUCGGCUUGGAAUUGGGUGCUUGCCGCUUUUACGAGCGGCUCACCUUAAAUGUAUUAGCUGGAUCUGUCUUUGAGACUUGGUUUGACUUGGCGUAAUAAGUAUUUCGCUAAGGACAUUCUUCGGAGUGGCCUCGUUUCUAGGACGCGUGUCCGCUUUCCAAUACAAGUUCCACCUCGUGGACAUGACUUUUUAUUAUCUGGCCUCAAAUCAGGUAGGACUACCCGCUGAACUUAAGCAUAUCAAUAAGCGGAGGA
rnacentral:misc_RNA from 1 species